CCUACGGGGGGCUGCAGUGAGGAAUAUUGCACAAUGGGGGGAACCCUGAUGCAGCAACGCCGCGUGAGCGAUGAAGGCCUUCGGGUCGUAAAGCUCUUUUCUGUGGGAUGAGAAAAGGACAGUACCACAGGAAUAAGUCUCGGCUAACUACGUGCCAGCAGCCGCGGUAAAACGUAGGAGGCGAGCGUUAUCCGGAUUCACUGGGCGUAAAGGGCAAGUAGGCGGUAGGCAAAGUUGGGCGUGACAAAUCUCGGCUUAACUGAGAGGGGUCGUUCAAAACUAGUCUACUGGAGGGCAGGAGAGGAAGGCGGAAUUCCGAGUGUAGCGGUGGAAUGCUCAGAUAUUCGGAAGAACACCAGUGGCGAAGGCGGCCUUCUGGCCUGCACCUGACGCUGAGAGGCGAAAGCUAGGGGAGCGAACGGGCUUAGAUACCCCUGUAGUC
rnacentral:rRNA from 1 species